rnacentral:miRNA from 8 species
AUCCUCUCUAACUUAUCCUUCA